GCUGUUAAAAACACAGCUUAUUGUGUCUAUCUUUGUCUCAUUUUGUCCAUAGAGAGAGGUCAGACAAUCCCUGGACAAGAUCCUGCAGAUUGAGAUAGGCCAAGAACAUUGUGAUCCUGAUGAAGCUUACGUUGGACUUUAUAUGGACACUAUUCAAUGUGUUGGUGCCAAGUGCAAUGAAGCGAAAAAAAUCAGCUCUGACCUGUCUGAUGAAGUGCAAGACGUUUGUUUCCAAGAGCUGCUGAUAUUUGUAAGGAGGUACACCACUGAGCAGACUGAGGCUCUUGGAAAAAAAGCAGAAAUGGAUGAACCAGAAACAAUACAUUUCCUCAAGACUCUGAAAACGUGUAAAGAACUCAAG